rnacentral:rRNA from 1 species
CCAGACUCCUAUGGGAGGCAGCAGUGGGGAAUUUUCCGCAAUGGGCGAAAGCCUGACGGAGCAAUACCGCGUGAGGGAGGAAUGCCUUUGGGUUGUAAACCUCUUUUCUCAGGGAAGAAGAUCUGACGGUACCUGAAGAAUAAGCAUCGGCUAACUCCGUGCCAGCAGCCGCGGUAAUACGGAGGAUGCAAGCGUUAUCCGGAAUUAUUGGGCGUAAAGCGUCCGCAGGUGGUUUUCAAAGUCCGCUGUUAAAGACUGGAGCUCAACUCCGGAAAGGCGGUGGAAACUUGAGAACUAGAGUUUGGUAGGGGUAGCAGGAAUUCCCAGUGUAGCGGUGAAAUGCGUAGAUAUUGGGAAGAACAUCGGUGGCGAAGGCGUGCUACUGGACCAUAACUGACACUCAGGGACGAAAGCUAGGGGAGCGAAAGGGAUUAGAUACCCCUGUAGUCCUAGCUGUAAACGAUGGAAACUAGGUGUGGCUUGUAUCGACCCGAGCCGUGCCGUAGCCAACGCGUUAAGUUUCCCGCCUGGGGAGUACGCACGCAAGUGUGAAACUCAAAGGAAUUGACGGGGGCCCGCACAAGUGGUGGAGUAUGUGGUUUAAUUCGAUGCAACGCGAAGAACCUUACCAGGGCUUGACAUGUCGCGAAUCUUGAUGAAAGUUGAGAGUGCCUU